CAUGGACUGGGCAGGAGAACCACAACUGCUUAUAAAAAGCAUGCAGUGUAUAUAGCAUUUUCACGUAGCACCCUUCCCCUAGCAAUCUCCACCUGGCAACCUUCAUUUAACCCAAAACAAAGUACCUUGAUCCCCUACGCUACCUGAGUUCCACAGGAUAUCCCAGAGGGUUCAGAUGUUCCUCACAGAUAAGGAAUGAAUCUGUGGGUUGGCUGUUCCCAGGUUCCUUAGCUCAGAAGUCUGAACAUACAUUCUUAAACCAUAGGGUUAUUCUUAAGGUAUGCUUAAGUUAUUGCUGCCAGGUGUACCUGCCAUACAGUCUUUGAUCCAUUUGAGUUUAUUUUUGUAUAGAGUGAGUGGGGAGGGAGAGAUAAACAUUUAGGUCCAGGAAGCUUGUCCAUAAUGAAACUAUGGCAGGGGCCAGGAAGGAAGAUUGUAAACAAAUAAUAUUACCUUCCACAUUAUUAUUGUUAUUAUUUACAAAAUUUUCAUACACCCGUGGGUCUAUUUGAGUUUUAAAUUCUGUUCCAGGGUUGGGCUCAGUGGCUCACGCCUGUAAUCCCACCACUUUGGGAGAACUAGGCAGGAGGAUAGCUUGAGCUAAGCAGUUCGAGACCAGCCUGGGCAACAUAGUGAGACCUUAUCUCCACAAAAAAAUUAGACAGGCAUGGUGGCACGUGCCUAUAGUCCCAGCUACUUGGGAGGCUGAAGUGGGAGACCACUUGAGCCUAGGAGGUUGAAGCUACAGUGAGCCAAGUUCGCAUCACUGCACUCAAGCCUUAGCAACACAGUGAGAUCCUGUCUCAAAAAAAUAAAUAAGUAAAUUCUGUUCCAACGGUCUAGUUUCCUGUUCCUCUGACAAAAACAUAAGUUUUAAUUAUUAUAACUCCAUAAUAUACUUUCAUGUCUUGUAGAUUAGGCUCCUUUCUCUGCCCUUUUUUAUAAAAUUGACUUUCCUAAUUUUUACUCCUUAAUUAUUCUAUAUAAAUAUUAGAAAAAGUUUGAUUUCCUCAAAAAUUCUAAAAUUUUAAUUAGAAUUGCUUUUAUUGAUUAGUCAGGGGAGGACUGACAUAUCCACACAGUGAUUUAAGACAAUAAGAGACCAUCUUACACUUACUAUGUUAUUAAAUAAUACUAAGUGCAGGUGAGGAUACUAGAAAACUGUCUUAUGGUUGGAUGGAAUGGUGCUGCCAUUUUGGAGAACAGUAUGGCAGUAUUUAAUAACAUUAAAUAGGCAGUUUUUAGUAGCAUUAAAUACGUGUAAAUGUUAUGAUGUAGCACUUCCUCUAAUGAGUUUUUACCCCAAAGAACAGUUGUAGAGAUAUACAAGGAGACAUACACAAGAUAUUCAUUGCAGUUGUUUGUGGUAACUAAGAGUUGGAGAAAACUUACAUGUCCUUUUAUAAAGUAAUGGAUAAGGAAACUAUAUAAGCAUAUGAUCGAAUAUAAUGCAACGAUCAGAAGCUGCCAUUGAGAAAAGCAUGGUGGCAAGAAAGCAAAAAUGAAUCAGGUUUUAGAAUUACAUUUAUCAAAUAAUUUAGGUGUGGUUACAGACAUAUGGAAUUGACUAGAAGUAAAUUGAUCAGAACUCUAUUAAGGUUUUGAAGGAAUUAUUUUGCCAAAAACAAAAACUAACAAAUGGAGUCAACAACAGAAUCUGGACUAAAAAAAUUUUUUUGACUAGUCUAGUCUUAAAAUGAACUUCUUGUAAUCCUAACACUUUGGGAGAAAGAGGUAGAAGAAUUGCUUAAAGCCAAGAGUUCAAGACCAACCUGGUCAACAUAGUGAGACCCUGUCACAAAAAAGCAAACAACAACAACAACAAAAAACACAGGCCAGGCAUGGUGGCUUAUGUCUGUAAUCCCAGCACUUUGGGAGGCCAAGGCGGGCGGAUCACUUCAGGCCAGGAGUUUGAGACCAGCCUGGCCAACAUGGCAAAACCCCAUCUAUACUAAAAAUACAAAAAUUAGCUGGCCAUGGUGGCACAUGCCUGUAAUCCCAGCUACUUGGGAGGCUGAGGCACAAAAUCCGGUUGAGCCCCAGAGGCGGAGGUUGCAGUGAGCCAAGAUCACACCACUGCACUCCAGCCUGGGUGACAGAGGGAAACUCUGUCUCAAAAAACAAAACAAAACAAAAAAGUCAGGUUCUGAAAUUUGCAUAGCUGAAAGCAGGCUCAGAAAGCUGUGCAGUCUCCAAGGACAUAUUCCUCAACAACCUCUUCAGGUAUGGCCAUGAAAAAUAGACAAGGAAGAACAUCCGGCAGGAAAAACCCAAGAACCAUGAAAAACAGUGGAUAAGGGAAUGCCUCAAAGGGAGUAGAACCCAGCUCUAAUUACAAAUUAGCCCACACCCCAGUUAAGAGGAAUUCACAAUGCAUGCCUCAGAGGAUUUUAUCAUUGUAAUGAACCAGCAGUUACUAUGUGUCUCCCAUUAUUUUUCUUUUCAAGUUAAGAAUUCUUAAUUGUAGCCAUCUAGCCCUGUCCCUAAUGAAUGUAUUAGGUAUGUGGGAGUAAGAAUGAGAAUAGGUGCAAAUAAUUUAUCUCUUUAGUUCAUGGGUGGCUUGACCACAAGAAGCCACUUCUAUGACUGAAAUAACUGUGUAUCACUAGGAAAUCCUAGAACUUGAAUUGGAUGCACUGACUGAUACUUUGAGCAGUCACUCUUAAGAUAAGGUGUAUCUUAUGUGUGGGAAGAAGAGUAAAACAGAUGCUAUUUACCAGAAGAGUGAACUAUGGCAGAAAUUGGCCAGACAUUCAGCAAACCUAUUUUUUUUCUCCUAGACUCUCAGCUAGACCAUAUUUCCCAGCCUCUGUUUUGGUGAGGUGCAAUUAUAUGACUUUCAGCCUAUGGAAUGUGGAAAGAGUGAUGAUUAUACACCACUUUCAGGCUUGGCUUGUAAAAAUCCACCAAUCAUUCCUUCACUUUCUCUCCUCAUAGUUGGCUGGAUAGUGACACCUAAAACCACAGCAAAAGAUGGCAGAGCUUCCACCAGCCUAGGUUCCUGAAUGACUGCAUGGAGUGUGCCCCAGCCCCUGCUGACAGUUGGACUUUAUAUGCUGCAAUAUGCCACCCAGAUUUCUUCUUCAGGAAUGGAAGAUUUGUUCCCCCAGCUGCUAAAGUGCUGCAGGAAGACACUCCUCAGCUCUCAGUCCUCUUUGGGGAUUGCUGUGGCAAAAGAAAACUGGAGGUCCAAGAUGAUACCUCCUUCCAAGAGUAGCUCAUAUACAAUGAUUGAGAGGUGCCUGUUCUUGCUUCAGCUAGGGACAAUUUUGAAGGGCCAUCCCAGAUCCAGAGCUUGUCAUCAGGUUGAUUAAUUGAUUACAUUUCAACUUCUCCCUCUACCCAAUUCUGCUUUCGUUCCCUCCCUUCCACAAGUGCUGAUCCCAAGACCACUGCCUAAUAAAUGGCCUGCACACUAGUCUCCAUCUCUUCUUCAACUGUAUCUCCACCUCUUCUUCCUGAAGCAACAUGCUGUGACACAAACGUUAAUGUAUGUUCGUGUAUCUUAACCUUUGUUGCUCUAUAUUUCCCUUCUGCUCACCUCUAUUUUUCAAGUUUAUAGCAACAUUUUGUGAAAAUAAAUAAAUAUGAAAGUUUUACAAAGUA